AAAAAAUUAGUUAAAAUAUAACAUUAAUUUGUCAAAUUAAAAUUAUUAAUAUUUAAUAUUUUUUA
rnacentral:tRNA from 1 species